rnacentral:ncRNA from 1 species
GGGCGCAAGCGUUGUCCGGAAUUAUUGGGCGUAAAGAGCUCGUAGGCGGUCUGUCGCGUCUGCUGUGACGCGGGGCUCAACCCCGCGCCUGCAGUGGGUACGGGCAGACUAGAGUGCGGUAGGGGAGACUGGAAUUCCUGGUGUAGCGGUGGAAUGCGCAGAUAUCAGGAGGAACACCGGUGGCGAAGGCGGGUCUCUGGGCCGUUACUGACGCUGAGGAGCGAAAGCAUGGGGAGCGAACAGGAUUAGAUACCCUGGUAGUCCAUGCCGUAAAACGUUGGGCACUAGGUGUGGGACCCAUUCCACGGGUUCCGUGCCGCAGCUAACGCAUUAAGUGCCCCGCCUGGGGAGUACGGCCGCAAGGCUAAAACUCAAAGGAAUUGACGGGGGCCCGCACAAGCGGCGGAGCAUGCGGAUUAAUUCGAUGCAACGCGAAGAACCUUACCAAGCUGACAUACACCGAAGACAGAGAUGG